rnacentral:rRNA from 1 species
UACAGAGGUCCCAAGCGUUGUUCGGAUUCAUUGGGCGUAAAGGGUGCGUAGGUGGCGUCGUAAGUCGGGUGUGAAAUCUCGGGGCUUAACUCCGAAACUGCAUUUGAUACUGCGGUGCUUGAGGACUGGAGAGGAGACUGGAAUUUACGGUGUAGCAGUGAAAUGCGUAGAGAUCGUAAGGAAGACCAGUGGCGAAGGCGGGUCUCUGGACAGUUCCUGACACUGAGGCACGAAGGCCAGGGGAGCAAACGGG